UUAUAUUAUAAAUAUAAGUUAAGUAGCGGACGGGUGAGUAACAUGUAAGAACCUGCCUUUAGGAGGGGGAUAACCGCUGGAAACGGCGGCUAAAACCCCAUAAACUGCGGAGUAAAAGGUGAAAACUACCUAAAGAUGGGCUUGCAUCUGAUUAGCUUGUUGGUGAAUUAACUGUUCACCAAGGCGAUGAUCAGUAGUUGGUCUAAGAGGAUGAUCAACCACACUGGGACUGAGACACGGCCCAGACCUCUACGGAGGGCAGCAGUGAGGAAUUUUCCGCAAUGGGCGAAAGCCUGACGGAGCAAUGCCGCGUGGAUGAUGAAGGCUUUUGAGUCGUAAAGUCCUUUUCUUAGUAAAGAAAAUAGACGGUAGCUAAGGAAUAAGCAUCGGCUAAUUCCGUGCCAGCAGCCGCGGUAAUACGGAACAUGCCAGCGUUAUUCGGAAUUA
rnacentral:rRNA from 1 species